UUACUCGAAAAGGAGAAGCAUGAUAAACUUUGGAUGGAAUUUAUGUUUUAACAGAAGAUGAAGACAUUUACGACCCUGUUUAGCGUUGCAGUGUGGACUGUGCCUGAGACGAUUCCCCAUAACGCCGGCUAUGUAGACAGCUUGUGAAAAUGGAAUCCAAAUGCUCACAAGAAAUGACAAAAGCAGUAUGAAGAUUAUCACAACGAAAUUGUGCCAGAAAAGUUUGAAGUAGCUAUGGGAAUGAUCAACAUUGAACUUGCUGAGGCUCUCUUCCUGAAAGUGACUUGACCAGAUAUUUGGCUACCCAGUAUGAGUAUCUUUCUGCUACAUUAAAUAAAAUAUCGUGGAGGAACACGAAGAAAAGGGCUGCGCACCUCAACAUAUUCAAGGUCAAGCAGCUUUUUACCAUAUCCAUAGUAUCUUGCUGCUAAAUGAAAAAAUUAGUGUGGAGGAGCAGAGAAAAGGGCACCUCAACAUGUUCAAGGUCAAGCACAAAUUAGGAGCUAGGUGUGCUUCUCCAGAGCUGAAAACUUCUUGGUAUGAAGAGAAGAAGAA